rnacentral:lncRNA from 1 species
GUCCGUCGCCUCGCAGACUUUACCGCCAGAGAUGUAGGCUCCUUGUGCGUCCGUGGUCCUUAAUUGGAAGCCACUCCCGAGUAUUAGGAAGGGAGGGAGAGACUUAUUUGCGUUCCCAUUGUUUGUGGCUCACUUAGGAGACCCUGGAGCCGCAAACUCUCGGUUAGAGCGUUUGCUUUCCGCCUCUGGGAGGAAACGCAGACUUUAAGCUGCUUUUUUUUUUUUUUUUUUUUUUUUUUUAAGACUUAGUCCUCCUCCAUAGUAAAUGCAGUUCAAAAGCUCCAGUUGUAAUGGACCGGCGAUUUUUCUUGACCUGUUAAUUUGAGGCAAGGUUUCUGUAGUUCAUGAUGGACUGGAUGUAUAGUGAAGUCUCCAAGCUUCCUGGAAGUAAUGAUUGGAGGGGAGAGGUACCACGUCUUCUCAUUUUGUUCCAGCCCAGCAUGGCCUACAGAGUGAGACCCUGUCUCAAAAAAAAAAAAAAAAAGAGAGGGCUGAAAAGAUGGCUCAGCACCUGCUGCUCUUCCAGAGGACCCAGUCGUAUGACAUCUACACUUCUUACAAUUUCCUCAUAUGAAAUGCACCACGAUCCUCUCAGUCAAGAAAAAUCUUGGGCUUCCUCGUCAGCCCCCAGCCUCUAGACAUCUUGCUGAAUCUCUGGAAUCGCUCUUCUUUCCCUCAGAGUUCCUCUUUAACAUUCUGUUUUAUAAAUCCGGCACGUGAGAUUUUAAUGGCUCUGUUGCAGCUUUCUCUUCUUCAGUCAGUAGAGUUAGCUAGAAAAACAAAGGACAAAAUGUUUAUUUCGAAACCUUCAAAGGAUGUUAAAUGAGUUAAAUUUUGCUUCAUUGCACAAAUUUUUUUAUAAUCUUAUACUACAUAUUUAGUCUUGAAACUUGAAAGGCAAGGGAAAACAAUAGCUAUCAGGCUAUUUAUAUACUAUAGUUGGGCUUUCAAAGAACUUGCAAUUAGGCUGUACAAACAAGAUCAAGAAAGCAAACAAAUGAUUAUCAUUUAACAGAACUAAAUGUAUGUUUGAAUACCAUAUUUGGAAAAGAGAUUGGGACCCAGAGAAAUAAUUGUGUGCUGAAUUUUGAAGACCCCAUCUCAAAAA